GAGUGAGACCCUGUCUCAAAAUAAAUCAAUAAAUAAAAAGAAAGAAAACUACUUUGCUAAAAUAGAAAUAAUCAUAAAUUUAAUACUUAACAGUUAUUCUGAUCAGUUUAAAAGAGCUCCAUUAAAAAUAACCACAAACUAUUGCUUCUCGGCCUUUUGGCUAAGAUCAAGUGAAGGAUAACCACAAACUAUAAUAACCCGAGAAGAAUGAAUAUAGAUAUUUAAUAUUGAAAUUGAUUCUUUCUCAUCUUCAGGCAUUAGUAUGUACCUGUUAUUCCCUUUGCUUAUAACACUCUUCCCUCACCCUCUUCCUUGACUAAUCACCUACUUUUCCUUCCAGUCUCAGUUUAGACGGCACUAGCACUGAGAAAACUCGCCUUGGCCUCUCUUCCCUCUAUCUGCUCGUCUCAAUCCAGCAUACAUGUGUCAGAGCAGCUAGUUACCUGAUGACUUGGCAAGACCUAUGAAAGAAGAACCAUUUCUAUCUCAUGGGUAUUGUGGAAUAAGUGGUUAAAUUAAGUAUUUAAGAAAUAUAGAAAAAAUAUUCUUUCAUUAAAAAGAGAUUGGCUAGUAUUUGUGGUAGGCAGUCGCUAAGAUGGCUCCUAAUAAUCCCCUUCUCAUGAUAUUCACAUCCUUGUAGCAAUCCCCUUUUCUUCAGUGUGGAAAGAACUUAGUGAUUAACUUCUAAUUAGUAUAACAUACUAACGUGAUGAGAUGUGGCUUCUAUGAUUAGGUUUUCAAAAAACUGUGACUUCCGUCUUUCUGGCUACUCUCACUCUCUUGCUUGCUUUGGUGGAAGCCAGCUACCAUAAUGUGUACUUCCCCAUAGGAAGGUCCAUGUAACAAGGAACUGAUGCCUGUGACCGACAAGGAACUGAAUGAGGCCCUCAGCCAAACAGUUGAGAAUUCCAUCAACAAUGACAUGGGUGAUGCAUCAGAAUACAACAGCACCCUUUAUCUCCAGGGCAUGCGUUCCAACACCUCCAGUGAAAGCCUGAAACCAGUUCUGAACCUGACUGGCAUCAUUUGGAACACAUUUCUGUUCAUCUCUCCCAUCCAGAAAUUUAAUGCCUUUUCCAUCUUAACUAAGCGUUUAUCAUGUACUGUGGCUGUCACUUGUGCGGUUUGAAGGGCCACAGCAAAACUAGCAGGAAUUUUUUUUCUUCUUUCAUGGAUUGAAGGUUCUUUCUUACCAUAGAUCUUAGCAAACUCAGCAUACGAUUUUUUUUUUUCUUUCUCUAUUAAGUCAAAAACUUUCACCUUUUCACUUACAGGAAACACUUUACGACUUCUCUUUGGCAAACCCGAAUUGCCAGCAUCACUACUCUUGCGCUUUGGGGCACCUAUGAAGUAAAAUAAGAGUUCAUUGAGCACACAGCACUUUGAUGCACAACAGGCGAUCUGAUAACCUAGAUGGUCAGUAAGUGACUAAUAGCACUACUCAGAACGGUGUGGAGUUUCAAACUUAUCAAUUGUUUAUUUCUGGAAUUUUCCCUUUAGUGAAACCAAGGAAAGCAAAAUCACCGAUAAAGGGAAUUUCCAUAUAUAUAAACAAAAAACAUUUACUGAAUACAAGAAUAAACUAUUACUUCUCCUCUCUGGCUUAAAACUAUUCUGAGCAUUCCCCUUAAGAGAAUAGCACCUGUUAAAUGGAAAAGUGAUUAGCUAUUAUAAGUUUAGAAAAAACGCAAAAACUACCAUAGAAUCUUUAUUCAUAAAAAUCCUUAAAACGAGAAUGGACUAAUGACUUUCAUUCAUUUCAUAUUCGUGUAUAUUGUGCCCAGUCUUUUUAAAGAUGGUGUCAUCCAGGCAAAGCUGAAUGAGACAUGAAGCCUACCCUCUCUUCCUGUUCCAGAAAGUUCCUGGUUAGAAUUUUACUAAAGGCACUCCCCUUAACCUACUCUUCCUGUACAAUUUUCUUUCUUUCUCCCUCAUCACCUUCAUUAGUUGUCUCUUUAUUUGUAUUUUGUUUGAAUGCUUGCUAGUCUUAUUUGUUGAAUAUAAUGUUUCCUUUAUUAUAAACCACCUCACCAUGAAUAACAUUAAUUUAGAGAACCCAGCUUACAAUGCCCUGUGUAACCUGAUAUAAAACCCAAGUGAAUCUCAAAUCCAAUAGAUGGAGAUCUAGAUAGGGUUCCUCCAGUCUCCACACUAUUGACCUUUGGGCUGGAAAGUUCUGUUGUGGGCGAUGUUUAGCAGCAUCCCUGGGCUGUACUCACUAGAUGCCAACAGCACCUCCCCAACCCAGAAACUUCACAAGCAAGCGCUAGGGAGUAGGUGAGGACAGGAGGGACAGGGCUUCCAUCCGAUUGCACAAACUAGCGCCAGUAGGAAGUUGUCCUUUUUACUUCAAUUUAUUACAUUAUGCAAUAGGAAUCAAUGCCCUCAUUCUGUGCGUUCAGUCCAACAGUCCCUGAACUAAAUCUGACAAAGGCUGGCAGCAUAUUAAAUAUCCUGCCCCCAGUGGUGAAUGCAGAUUGGAAUUAGUUUCGUUCCACCAGGCUAAUAGUUGGUCUAAAACAAUGUUUCUCCUGAGAGCCUGUUAGAUAUGCAAAUUCUGGGCCUGACCUCAGACAUGAGUCAGAAUCCCUUGGGCUAGAGCCCAGGAAACUGUAUUUUAACAAGCUUUCCAAGUGGUUCUUAAGCAUGCUAAAGUUUGAAGUAAACUGUUAUAGGAUAUACACAUGCCCUCAUAACUGUAGCCUAGACUCAUGAUCUCCAUGAGGAUUGCCUAGUCUAUUUAACUGGGCCUGUGCUCCAAAUACUUCCAGUUUGCAGAAUCAAAGGGAAGUCCUGCCCUGAAGCUCCACCCGCGAGGCCCAAACCCUAAGCUGUUUGCUUCUGCUAUAUUUAUUUCUCCCUAGGGACUGGAUACUCUCAGUGUCCCUCAGUGCUGAUUAAUGCUUUGUUUCACAGAAACGGACACAGAGAACCAUAAAAAUUACUACCUACAGUAGUACUAUCACUCAUUAGAAAUUCUGGAAGCCACUUCUGAUUUGUUCAGAGAUCAGCGUUGACCCAGAUUUAGGUAAAAUACUUGGAUCGUUGUGAUUUUUAUUAUUGUCCACCAGACUUAAUGACAUCCCACAGUCAAAUUGGGCUGCUAGCCCUGGCCACAUGCAGUGUUGCUUCACUUUUCCCUGAGGGGUCCCUUAUUCAAGUACCAGCAGACUUCAUGGCAAGGCCUAAGUCAGUUAUGAUCUUACAUCACUGGUAGAGACUUGGGCUUAGAGACUUUACAGUGUGAAGUUCCCUGGUGUGUCAGGAUGUUGGAGAAUCCAAGAGUUUAGUAGGAUUUGGCCCAACAAUGCCAUAGUCUUUCCUGGAAAAAAAAAAAAAGUCCUUGCAGAAAUUUCCAAUUUCAAUUUUCAUUUUUUUAAAUAAAAUAAUUUGCUUCCAAGUUA